rnacentral:rRNA from 1 species
CACGUAGGGCGCAAGCGUUGUCCGGAAUUAUUGGGCGUAGAGAGCUCGUAGGCGGUCUGUCGCGUCUGGUGUGAAAACUCAAGGCUUAACCUUGGGCCUGCAUCGGGUACGGGCAGACUAGAGUGCGGUAGGGGAGACUGGAAUUCCUGGUGUAGCGGUGAAAUGCGCAGAUAUCAGGAGGAACACCGGUGGCGAAGGCGGGUCUCUGGGCCGUAACUGACGCUGAGGAGCGAAAGCAUGGGGAGCGAACAGG